CGCUCAUCCAGAGGGGCAGAGGGACACGGCCCGUUGAAGCCCCGGCAACCCUCCAGUCGGUUCUCGCUCGCGCGGGGCCCCGGCUAGGGAAGGUGCCAAUUCCGUCUCAUGGCGAAGUGCGCCAUGGGGAAGAUGAGGA
rnacentral:ncRNA from 2 species